GAAUAAUAACAGAAACAUUUAUUUCCAGUUUACUCAACAGAAAAUGCCAAAGACAUAAUACUUUGAAGAAAUGAGGUCUUUGAAGAAAUGCGAUAUUACAUUGGAUGCAGCUUCAAGAAAUAUCUUACUAUGCGCGGCUCCUCCAGCGUCCCUCACAGAAGCAAGAGGCUGAGCUGCUUGGUCGUCCCAAACCACGCCACACUGGUAAAUCCCGAGGGAGCGCCGCGAUGGAGAAGUCCCUGCAGUUCCUUUUUAGAUCCCCACUUUCUAAUAACAGCAGAAAUUUUUCAGAGGACAUACUCCUGGUCUCCUUUCUCCAACCAAUGCAAGAAAAGUUCGCAAGAUGGGACUUAAAUGCGGAAUGAGCACUUAAGGAACGGCUCCAAUCUGCGUGCCACACCUCUGCCCUCUCUUGUAUACAACGGAAAGCCUGUCAAUGUUAUUGUAAAUCGUGAUGGCUCAGUCCAGAAAAACCAUAUUUUGCACCUCAUCUGGUCUAAAUAUUGAGUUUACGAGUGAAUGUUGCUUUGCAUUAUGUGUUAUAGAUGCUUUAUGUUUAUUUAAGAACUCAGUUUGCAGGAAUGUUUUCCAGACAUGCGGUUUACCGCAAUAGACAGUUGUUGAUAUUCUGAUCCCAAGAGCAUUAGAAUAUGUUUAGAAAUUGCGACACUUUUAAAACCAGAUGUUCUACAUAAGCUACACAAAAAAAAGGGGGUGGGGGAACAAAUAGAACUGUCAUUUGGCAUGAAAACAGCCUGUGUUAAAGCAAAGGCAAACACAUACCAAGUGAAAUAAACGUGGUGAACUGCCCUCAACCCUUUCCUCCUUUUGUAAGUAACUAUUUUAACAAAAGAUGGAAAAUCCCAGCUCCCAGAUGGCGCGGGAAGGGAGAAGGAAGGCUUUCAGGUCCAGAUUCGCAUCUGAGGGAAGCUGCUGGAUCUUGUUCCUGGGAUGGAUCAAACCAGAAUGACAGAGCCGGGCAACUUGAAGCAAGGAAAGAAUGUAACUCUGGAUUCAAAGCCCAGCGCAAAACUCGUUUUCUGUGCGUUUCUAAAGGACCUUAAAGGAAAGAGAAUAUUCCAACAAGAACCAAAGUAUCAGAGAACAAAAAUAGGAAGAAUUUUAUGGUAGAAUAUCAGCAAUUAGCUUCUUCAGCUCAUUAUUGGAUUUUAUAACUUGACUCUUCAAAACCAGCUAUGAGGAUUAGGUUGUGGCUUUAUACAGAGCUCCGGGUAAGGAGAGGCAAGAGGAGAAUCGCCAUGUGGGUCGCAACUUCUUCCCUGCACCAAGGGGAAGGGACCUGCAGCUCACCGGCGUCAGUUCCUCUGGAGAAGCAAGCCCAGUGACAGAGCUGGGACUCGUCCCUGCACGUGGGACGUUUGUUCGUCACGGCGGGACCUGGGGUCUCGUAGGACUUAGCUGUUGGCAUCUCUUUCGUGGUGGUUGAAGCACUCUGACUUAGAAGUGGGAGCAAACAGAAGGAGGAGAUUCAAUUCAAAUGGACUUGGAAGAUGGAGGCAAACAGAGAGAAAUGGAAGGAAGAGUCAACUUUUUAAACAGGAAAGAAAGAAGGCUAUAACCUGCAAACCCGCAAGCCUGAAGGACCACCUGAGUCCCUUACGCCUAAGGAAUGUGCAGUCCUCUGCAGCAGGACACCUUCCAAACACAUCUGGACAACGGGACACCUCUGCC